rnacentral:rRNA from 1 species
UACGUAGGGGGCAAGCGUUGUCCGGAAUCAUUGGGCGUAAAGAGCGUGUAGGCUGCCCGAUAAGUCCGCUGUGAAAGUCCAGGGCUCAACCCUGGGAUGCCGGUGGAUACUGUCGGGCUCGAGUCCGGAAGAGGAGUGUGGAAUUCCUGGUGUAGCGGUGAAAUGCGCAGAUAUCAGGAGGAACACCAAUGGCGAAGGCAGCACUCUGGGACGUGACUGACGCUGAGACGCGAAAGCGUGGGGAGCAAACAGG